UUCCCUCCCCCUUCUCCUGUGGGACAACCAGGGACCGCAGCUCCCCGCUCCCCAGGUGUGGGGGCUCCGACACGAACGCCUCUGCUCGCAGGGCGGUGAGCGCAGAUCCCACGGGUCCCUCGGUCGGGGGUCGAGGCUGCUUCCGUUUCCAUCCCGGACCCGACAAUGGGCGGGAAAAAGAAGGCUUUACACGACUACGCGGCGGAGUUCACCGACCUGGUGGUGAAGCACCUGAUUGAGCACAGUGACUCUGGGGACACGUCUGUGGUGGAGACCCUUUACUGCAGGGCCUGCGAGCUGCCCGUGCGCGUGCGGAGGGACCGCAUCCUGGAACACCUGUCCUCGGGCAGGCAGCACGGCCUGCGGACGCCCAUUCUCAUGUAAAUGUCAGUGCCAACGCUGGUGUUUCAGGAGUCAUCCCAGCGGGCUGCGGGCUAUUUUAGGAUUCUCUGCCCUGCAAACGUUUCCAAAGUACGUGGACAGGCCGCCUGAUGACACUACGUUUACGGGAUCUGCUAGUGGCUUGCCUACUUAGGGAGUAAACCCUGUGAAGUCUCGCAGUUUUGUUAAAGUGUGCGUGGCCACCUGAAUGCUGCCUUAUCACAAGCCAGAUACAUACUGGUCUGUAGGGUAACUCCCCACUGUUGAUCCUCUGAGAUGAUUGUGGACUGGGUGCUGUGAGUCCUGCCACUUUGUUUAAGUGAAUGUGUCUUUUGUCCAGCUCAGCCGCCUCGGAUCUCGCUGCCACCAGCCUUACUGCACACCCGUGCCACCCGCCCUUGCCCCGUCAGCCUCAGCCUCAGCUCAUUCUCUCAGGCAGUCCCAGCAUUGGCACGGUACCUCCUCCCGCUGUGGGCCACACGUCUCUGCUCCCUGUCAACCCUCCUGCCAUCAGCACCACCACCAGCGACUUGUCUGCCCGGGAGGAUGCAACACCAUCUGCCUCCACCGGCCACCUUUCAGUGUUUCCUGCUUUCCAAGUAAAGAUACCAGCAGUGCCCUCAGAGCAGACCAGCCAGAGUUUUUCUGAAGCCUCCCACAGGGUGCUCCCCGGAGGAGGCCCGAGAUGCUCUCGUGACUUUGGAGCCGGGGUGGCUGGCCACCUUGGCCUGGGCAUCUUUGGGGUGGGCUUCGGGAGCCCGGCACUGCUGCAGAGUGUGGUGGAUGAGAACAGCUGCUGCUUGCUGUACGUGGUGGAGGACCAGCUGUGUGAUGUGGAGCAAGCCUUCAGAGCUGAGCAUUUGGGCCAACACCAGAGUGGUUCGGGAACAGGAUGCAGACAUUGUCCUCAACGACCAGCGGUACGGUUUCAGUUGUCAGCAGAGGUUCACUGAACACCUGCUGUGUGCCGGGCACCGUCCUGGGGGCUGGAGAAAUGGCUCUGAAUGCUGCAAAGUCCCCAUGCUUGUGCUGCUGAAUUGGGGGCAGAGGCAGAUGCGUAGAUCUCAACACAUCAGUAGCAAUAAGCUCUGCGGAGAGAACUCACGCUGAGUCGGGAGAGGGAGGCUGGUGGGAGUGCUGUUUUAGGCACUUUGAUCCGGUUUUCCAGUUCUUGCACAAGCAAGUUUGUGUCAGCCACGCCCUGGGGAGGAUCCACUGGAUCACCGCCGUCACUGCCUGUUCCCGGCGGCCUCUCCGGCUUCCCUAAAGAGAGCAGCUUCCCUCGAGACCAGAAGCCAGAGCUCACCCUCCCUUGUGUCCAGGUGGGACUUUCUACAACGCUGCUGUGCACGACGUGGAUGCCGUAUGCAUGUUGCUGGGGGAAGCCACUCCGGACACUGUGUUUUCUCUGGGACAUGUCUUCUGCCCAGAUAUGGCCGCCUUAAAAGAUGCAGAUGCUGUUGUGAUCAGCAUGAAGUUUCCCUGUGAGGCCGUGGUUAGCGUGGACAUCAGCCAGCACUGCACAGACAGCUGCGACCAGGACGUCAGCCAGCACUGCACAGACAGCUGCGACCAGAGACUGGAGGUGACCCUUGCCCUUUUCCACCCUUCGCCAGUCCACUGUGAAAAGCUGGGUUGAUUGUGCGGGUUAGAUAGAGGUCAUCAGCCGGGUUGAUUGUGUGGGUUAGACAGAGGUCAUCAGCCAGGUUGAUUGUGUGGGUUAGAUAGAGAUCAUCAGCCUGGUAGAUUGUGUGGGUUAGAUAGAGGUCAUCAGCCAGGUUGAUUGUGCGGGUUAGAUAGAGAUCAUCAGCCGGGUUGAUUCUACAGGUUAGAUAGAGGUCGUCAGCCGGGUUGAUUGUGCGGGUUAGAUAGAGAUCAUCAGCCGGGUUGAUUGUGCGGGUUAGAUAGAGGUCAUCAGCUGGGUUGAUUGUGUGGGUUAGAUAGAGAUCAUCAGCUGGGUUGAUUGUGUGGGUUAGAUAGAGGUCGUCAGCUGGGUUGAUUGUGCGGGUUAGAUAGAGGUCAUCAGCCGGGUUGAUUCUACAGGUUAGAUAGAGGUCAUCAGCUGGGUUGAUUGUGCGGGUUAGAGAUCAUCAGCCGGGUUGAUUGUGCGGGU
ensembl:lncRNA GFOD3P Gfo/Idh/MocA-like oxidoreductase domain containing 3, pseudogene